rnacentral:ncRNA from 1 species
AAAAACGCAAUGAUUGGGAGUAGUAAGGAAUAUUUUUUGUUUAGAGAGCUGUCGGCUGGUGAAAGACAGUCAAAGAAUUCCCCAACUCGCCCAGGAGUGGUAAGGCUGAUUGGUAGGCCUUAACGGUUGACCGCCGUAAUCAAGUCAUUAAGUGGGUUCGUUUCGGGUUAAAACGAAUCAAAAAGAGUGGUACCACGUAGGCAAAGCCUGUCGUCUCUUAU